GUCCAGACUCCUACGGGAGGCAGCAGUGGGGAAUAUUGCGCAAUGGGGGAAACCCUGACGCAGCAACGCCGCGUGAGUGAAGAAGUCUCUCGGUAUGUAAAGCUCUAUCAGCGGGGAAGAAGGAAGACGGUACCCGACUAAGAAGCCCCGGCUAACUACGUGCCAGCAGCCGCGGUAAUACGUAGGGGGCGAGCGUUAUCCGGAUUUACUGGGUGUAAAGGGAGCGUAGACGGCGUCGCAAGUCUGAAGUGAAAGCCCGUGGUUCAACCGCGGAACCGCUUUGGAAACUGCGAGGCUGGAGUGCUGGAGAGGUAAGCGGAAUUCCUGGUGUAGCGGUGAAAUGCGUAGAUAUCAGGAGGAACACCGGCGGCGAAGGCGGCCUGCUGGACCGUGACUGACGUUGAGGCUCGAGAGCGUGGGGAGCAAACAGGAUUAGAUACCCCGGUA
rnacentral:rRNA from 1 species